AGUUUGUAAACUGUGGAUCACUGGAGCAACAUGGGUUUGUAAGGAACAAGAUUUAGACCAUUGAUGAUGAUCCUCCACCUCUUCAUCCUGCUGAGUACAUUGGCAAAUCUACUAUAGACUUGCUACUGAAACCAUCUAAAGAGGAUCUGAAGUGCUGGCCCCACUGUUUUGAGUUUCGUCUUAAAGUGGCUCUUGCAUUGAAUGGAGAUCACACCAUGAUACCGCGGAUUAGGAACCUCGACAACAAGCCGUAUAGUUUCUUUUUUGCUUUCCACACAUAUUUCUCUGUUUCUGACAUCAGUGAAGUGAGGAUAGAAGGGCUGGAGACACUUGAUUAUCUGGACAACCUUUGCAAACGAGAAUGCUUCAUUGAAUAAGGAGAUGCCAUAACAUUUGACUCUGAGGU